rnacentral:rRNA from 1 species
AGAGCGAACGCUGGCGGCAGGCCUAACACAUGCAAGUCGAGCGCCCGUAGCAAUACGGGGGCGGCAGACGGGAUAGUAACACGUGGGAACGCGCCCUUCGGUUCGGAAUAACUCAGGGAAACUUGAGCUAAUACCGGAUACGCCCUUACGGGGAAAGAUUUAUUGCCGAAGGAACGGCCCGCGUCCGAUUAGCUAGUUGGUGAGGUAAUGGCUCACCAAGGCUCCGAUCGGUAGCUGGUCUGAGAGGAUGACCAGCAUCACUGGGACUGAGACACGGCCCAGACUCCUACGGGAGGCAGCAGUGGGGAAUAUUGGACAAUGGGCGCAAGCCUGAUCCAGCCAUGCCGCGUGGAUGAUGAAGGCCUUAGGGUUGUAAAGUCCUUUUAACGGGGAAGAUAAUGACGGUACCCGUAGAAUAAGCCCCGGCUAACUUCGCGCCAGCAGCCGC